CACAUUAAUAAUACCUAUUCAAGAUCCUUGACUUUGAGACUUUCCGUUACUAUAGAAAUCAUGAUUUCACUUUGAUCUGAUCUAAAUCCUCGAUCCUUCUCACGAUGGGGGCUCGAAUCCCUCAAACUCCUUACACUCCAAGCCCCAACUUUAAACCGAACCCUAGCCACCAUCCGCAUAUCAAGCCCAAUACUCCCACUUUAUGCUCUUACACCACAACGAUCAAUAUUCAGUAGAAUUGGUACAAAAUAUUAUCAUUUUAUACAAUUAAUAUUCACCAAAAUAAGAAAUUUCUUAUCGUUAAAAGAAAAAAGAAGAAGAAAAGAGACAAGCCUGUUUAGA